rnacentral:rRNA from 16 species
ACCAUUUAAAGAGUGCGUAAUAGCUCACUGGUCGAGGAGUCCGGCGCCGAGAAUGAUUGGGGAUAAGCGUCGAGCCGAAGCCGCGGACACGCAAGUGUGGUAGGAGAGCGUUCCUGUCGGCGUUGAAGCGUGCCCGAAAGGGCCCGUGGAGCGUCAGGAAGUGAAUAUCCGAGCUUGAGUAACGAUAAAGCAGGUGAGAAUCCUGCUCGCCGAAAGCCUAAGGUUUCC